AUUGAACGCUGGCGGCAGGCUUAACACAUGCAAGUCGAGCGGGGGAAGGUAGCUUGCUACCGGACCUAGCGGCGGACGGGUGAGUAAUGCUUAGGAAUCUGCCUAUUAGUGGGGGACAGCAUCUCGAAAGGGAUGCUAAUACCGCAUACGUCCUACGGGAGAAAGCAGGGGAUCUUCGGACCUUGCGCUAAUAGAUGAGCCUAAGUCGGAUUAGCUAGUUGGUGGGGUAAAGGCCUACCAAGGCGACGAUCUGUAGCGGGUCUGAGAGGAUGAUCCGCCACACUGGGACUGAGACACGGCCCAGACUCCUACGGGAGGCAGCAGUGGGGAAUAUUGGACAAUGGGGGGAACCCUGAUCCAGCCAUGCCGCGUGUGUGAAGAAGGCCUUAUGGUUGUAAAGCACCUUAAGCGAGGAGGAGGCUACUCUAGUUAAUACCUAGGGAUAGUGGACGUUACUCGCAGAAUAAGCACCGGCUAACUCUGUGCCAGCCGCCGCAGUAA
rnacentral:rRNA from 1 species